AAUAUUGCGCAAUGGAGGGAACCCUGCCGCAGCGACGCCGCGUGAGCGAUGAAGGNCUNNGGAUCNUNAAGCUCUGUCCUUGGNNNNNCAGGUCUUCGGACUUGACGGUACCUAAGGAGGAAGCCCCGGCUACCUACGUGCCAGCAGCCGCGGUAAAACGUAGGGGCCAAGCGUGGGCCGGCAUUGUUGGGCGGAAAGGGUGCGUAGGCGGCCUUUUAAGUCAGAUGUGAAAGCCCACGGCUUAACCGUGGGACUGCAUUUGAAGCUGGAGGGCUUGAGUAUCGGAGAGGGUAGUGGAAUUCCCAGUGUAGCGGUGGAAUGCGUAGAUAUUGGGAGGAACACCAGUGGCGAAGGCGACUACCUGGACGAAAACUGACGCUGAGGCACGAAAGCUAGGGGAGCAAACA
rnacentral:rRNA from 1 species